rnacentral:rRNA from 1 species
GAGUUGUAAUUUGGAGAGGGCAACUUUGGGGCCGUUCCUUGUCUAUGUUCCUUGGAACAGGACGUCAUAGAGGGUGAGAAUCCCGUGUGGCGAGGAGUGCGGUUCUUUGUAAAGUGCCUUCGAAGAGUCGAGUUGUUUGGGAAUGCAGCUCUAAGUGGGUGGUAAAUUCCAUCUAAAGCUAAAUAUUGGCGAGAGACCGAUAGCGAACAAGUACAGUGAUGGAAAGAUGAAAAGAACUUUGAAAAGAGAGUGAAAAAGUACGUGAAAUUGUUGAAAGGGAAGGGCAUUUGAUCAGACAUGGUGUUUUGUGCCCUCUGCUCCUUGUGGGUAGGGGAAUCUCGCAUUUCACUGGGCCAGCAUCAGUUUUGGUGGCAGGAUAAAUCCAUAGGAAUGUAGCUUGCCUCGGUAAGUAUUAUAGCCUGUGGGAAUACUGCCAGCUGGGACUGAGGACUGCGACGUAAGUCAAGGAUGCUGGCAUAAUGGUUAUAUGCCGCCCGUCUUGAAACACGGACCAAGGAGUCUAACGUCUAUGCGAGUGUUUGGGUGUAAAACCCAUACGCGUAAUGAAAGUGAACGUAGGUUGGGGCCUCGCAAGAGGUGCACAAUCGACCGAUC